AUUGAACGCUGGCGGCAUGCCUUACACAUGCAAGUCGAACGGCAGCACGGGAGCAAUCCUGGUGGCGAGUGGCGAACGGGUGAGUAACGCAUCGGAACGUGCCCAGUCGUGGGGGAUAGCCCGGCGAAAGCCGGCUUAAUACCGCAUACGACCUAUGAGUGAAAGCGGGGGACCGAAAGGCCGCGCGCGAUUGGAGCGGCCGAUGUCAGAUUAGGUAGUUGGUGGGGUAAAGGCCCACCAAGCCGACGAUCUGUAGCUGGUCUGAGAGGACGACCAGCCACACUGGGACUGAGACACGGCCCAGACUCCUACGGGAGGCAGCAGUGGGGAAUUUUGGACAAUGGGCGCAAGCCUGAUCCAGCCAUGCCGCGUGCGGGAAGAAGGCCUUCGGGUUGUAAACCGCUUUUGUCGGGGAAGAAAUGCUCCGGGAUAAUACCCUGGGGAGAUGACGGUACCCGAAGAAUAAGCACCGGCUAACUACGUGCCAGCCGCCGCGGUAACAC
rnacentral:rRNA from 1 species